rnacentral:scRNA from 12 species
ACCGCUUUGUCCAGUCUGCCUUCCACUGUCUUCAUCAGUGUUGGUUGGAGGGGUAUCAGGCAUGUGACAUACACUAACUUUGUCCAUUAAAGGGGAUGAGUUCAAAGUAUGGAACUCCAUCCUAAAGGCAGGACAAGACAAA